CUAACAUCUAGGUGGGGCCCCCGUAACCUUCACCAGUAGUACAAAACACAAGUAUAUAUUAGACGGAGUAUCUUACAUGCACACACAGGAACAAGUCUUUCUGUUAGGUAAAACUGAGUCUGUACUGGUAAGUCCUUAAAAUGUAGCAAAACGUGUUUCGCCUCUCCAAGAGACUUCCUCAGUUGCUGGUUUCCUGUCCUGUGAGUGGGGCUCCUUUUAAACCUGUUCAGUUGCAAUUUUCUCCCUCCUUUCCAUGAUACUUCCGGGUGCCGUUUCAUUGUGAUGCAUUUCUGGUUCCGUUUUUUUGCGUUUCGUCGUUGGAACGCAUGCUGAAAACGAUCGUGAAUAUCCUGUUAGUUUUGGAGCUGGAACGCAUCUCUGAGUUCCACAUGUAAUUGUCUUCCGAUUUGCGGGUUGUCCUUAUCCUUAUGGAACGCAUACAUGCGUUUCAAAAGUCCUAUACAUGUAGUCCACAAUGUCUCAUAAAGAGUUUAUAAGAAUAAAUGUUAUUGCACAUCUGAAUCUAAGUAGGUGACAAUCAAGUGAUCCCUAUCUUUUAAAUAGAUAGUGCAAAAAGUGGUUGUAAUAAUAAAAUAAAAAAAUGUAGAACAUUCAUGUUAAG